rnacentral:lncRNA from 1 species
UUAAUUAUGAGUCUUCUGGAAAGAACCAGGGAGACCGUCUCCCACACCAUGACUCCGUCUGCUCUGCGAUGAAUGAACAAGCCAGCUCUUAGGGCUAACUCCCCAAACAGGCGUCAAACCCAAAGCGUAUCAGGGCAUCU